CGCGUAGGUGGUUUGUUAAGUCAGAUGUGAAAGCCCCGGGCUUAACCUGGGAAUUGCAUUUGAUACUGGCAAGCUAGAGUAUGGUAGAGGGAAGUGGAAUUCCGGGUGUAGCGGUGAAAUGCGUAGAUAUCCGGAGGAACACCAGUGGCGAAGGCGGCUUCCUGGACCAAUACUGACACUGAGGCGCGAAAGCGUGGGGAGCAAACA
rnacentral:rRNA from 1 species